rnacentral:tRNA from 4 species
GCGGGUGUAGCUCAGUUGGUAGAGCACAACCUUGCCAAGGUUGGGGUCGCGGGUUCGAAUCCCGUCGCCCGCUCCA